rnacentral:lncRNA from 1 species
UUUUUUUUCUUCUUCUCUCUAUACGUUGGUGUUCUAACCAAAAAUCACCGAUGCGAUAUUUUGUCCGAUCAAUUCGGGAACCAACUAACGAAUGCCAAAGUGCUGUCUAAAUAAGACUAUACUUUGUGAAUUUCGUUAAGGUUCUGAUCUCGUGACCAUCGUAAGGUUUGAUGUGGUUUUACACUAAUACGUAUUCCACUCUGUUAAACUAAAUGUUUAACUAUCAGAAAACUCUGGUCCAUAAACCUACUAUCAAACAAGAUGUAUAACCAUCAGAAGACUUAGAAUCAAGAUGCUUGUUUAAUCAAGACUAUAUGCUAACAAGUGAUUAUGUCUUUGCUAAUCUUUAAUUACUGACAGUAAGUGGGGGUAUGUGCGCAUUACUACUAAUGAUUUAUCACUUUAGGUGAGCGAGCCUAAUUAGUGAUAUGUCCACAGUCAUAGAUCCGGUCGAGUGACAAUUGAACCAGCUAAUUAUAAGAUAGGGGCAAAUGUAAAAACUCUUAAUGCUGUGAAUUAUAACAAAUGUGUUUGUGUACAAAAUGAAUGAACUCACCAGUAUUUUCUGCUGCCAAAUGUUUUUAAAACGCGUUUCAGGUGAUUACAGUAGAUUGGAAUAAGAGUGAUGAUACGGCACCGAAAGGCUUAAAGAAGUGGCUUAUUUUAUCAAUUAAAUUAAAUUAAGAAAACGUUGUUUCAUAUAUUCGGGUUUAUCCCAUAUUAAAGCUACCUUUGUAAAACAUGGGUUUAUUCCCAUCUGUUUAACAAAUAAAAUUCGGUGUUUCUAAACUCUGGUAUUUUCCUAACUCAUGGUCCUGAUAAAAUUUUCCGCUGCAAUAUUUUCAAAAUAAUCACCGGUACCACUUGACUGCUCGCAGCUCCCGUCCAGGGUGUGGUCGGGGGUCAUGACAUCAAGGAUAAGUGGUGCAAUAACAGGCAAACCAAACGGAACAGGGUCUGGCUCAGGAACAGGCUCUGGGACGUGAGGAGGUGUAGGGACUCGAGCAGGGGAUGACGGUGCAACAGACAUCGCAGUGUCGUCAUCUGAAUCAGUGGCAUGAAGCUGAAGUCCUGCAGCUCGCAGUGCUGAGGAAGUCACAAACUCAAAGGAGUCUAAAACUGAAUGCAAGCUAGAGUCGGAAGAGAUCUAAAUAACGGGUAUGACUAGAGGGGGUACAUCUAGCACAACAACGUCGUCAACCUCCCCAUCACCCUGUGCAUCAGCUGGGUGACCAUCCAAAAAUAGAUCGACAUCAACGUCAAAAAGGUCAUCAAAGGGCCAAUCCUCAGGGGGAAUGACCACUAGAGGAACUGGAUCAAGAAUGGGUGCAACAAUAUGCUCACCAUCGGGGUAACCGAUGAUGAGGUGGUCAUGGAUAGGAGCAGGGAAAUCAAAAAGAUCCUCAACAGGAAUGCCAUCAGCUAUAGGUGCGUCAUCGCCAAAAUCCGGUAAUGAGAAGGGCUGAAAGUCAUCCUCAUCGUCAGACAGCAUCUCUGGAUCACUCUCGGUGUCCGACGUGAAAAUCUCUUGCUCAGGCACGAUUUCAUCAUCUGAAACGAUGGCCAUAGGGUCGUGAGCAUCAGACAAUCCGCUCUCAGAGGAAGACAUGGGUGCCUGUAACAUAAUAAUUAUAACAUGUGCACAUAUGUUAACCACUAACACUCAGUGUAUGUAAACAAAGACAAUCAUCACUUAAUCAUGUAUUCACGUUA